rnacentral:sRNA from 1 species
UCAGCGUGAAAAGCUUGACGGUUUCUUAGCUGGGAGGCCUCACAGUUCUGCGCCGGACAGUCCCGAACUAACCACCUGAAUGACCUCUGCCAAGUCCAAAAGCUGUGGACAGGGGAGGCUCUGACGCCAGCCAGGUACCCAAUGGCAAGAGGAUGAGGACGGCGUUCACUAGCACGCAACUCCUGGAGCUGGAGAGAGAAUUCUCUUCCAACAUGUACCUGUCUCGACUCCGGAGGAUUGAAAUCGCCACUUACCUGAACCUGUCGGAGAAGCAGGUGAAAAUCUGGUUUCAGAACCGCCGAGUGAAGCACAAGAAGGAGGGGAAGGGCACGCAGAGGAACAGUCACGCGGGCUGCAAGUGCGUCGGGAGCCAGGUGCACUAUGCGCGCUCCGAGGAUGAGGACUCCCUGUCGCCGGCCUCGGCCAACGAUGACAAGGAGAUUUCCCCCUUAUGAGGGAUG